rnacentral:rRNA from 1 species
CCGUCCUAGUCUCAACCAUAAACGAUGCCGACCAGGGAUCGGCGGAAGUUGCUUUUAGGACUCCGCCGGCACCUUAUGAGAAAUCAAAGUCUUUGGGUUCCGGGGGGAGUAUGGUCGCAAGGCUGAAACUUAAAGGAAUUGACGGAAGGGCACCACCAGGAGUGGAGCCUGCGGCUUAAUUUGACUCAACACGGGGAAACUUACCAGGUCCAGACAUAGCAAGGAUUGACAGACUGAGAGC